rnacentral:lncRNA from 1 species
CACAGACCUCACCCUGCUUCCAUGCAGCCCUCUGUCCUGAAGGCCAGUCCCACCCCCACCAUGUUCCCCCAGCAGCACUGAGUCUAUUUCCAGUCAGCCAGUGACAAGAGCUAAGAACUUGUCCCCACACCACCAGCCUCCCUGAUGAGAAAGCAAGCAGACUCAGUUUUCUGGCAUCUCAGGGAGCAUGCAGUGGUGAUUCACUUUCUUCAAAGGGUCUCUGGAUUCUCUCAGCUUGCCUGAUGAUAUUGUGUCCGGAAUUGGUGGGCUCCUGGUCUCACUGACUUCAAGAAUGAAGCCGCGGACCCUCACAAAAUUACAAUGAAGGCGCUAGCCCACAGUUGCCUCCCACUCCGCAACCCCCAUGACCAACCCAGUGCUUCUCGAGUGACCCUGCAUCCUGUGCUGUGUUCUCUCAAGGGGAACUGUGAGUGUAACAACACUGCUAAAUUCUUUCUGAUUUACCUCCCUUGAUCUGAGUCUGGCUUCACCAUACCUCACCCAAGCCACUUCUCCUGUUCCAGUGGUUCGUAUUCUCCUAUACCUGUUUCAGAAGAAAAAUGUAUGGGACAUUAAAUUUUAGACUUUCAAUCACUGAAAAGCUCUUCAUUUUACUCUAAAACUUGUCUGACAUUUUUCUGGGUCUAGAAGUCUAGAAUGACAAGAAGUUUUUGUCAAAAAAUUUAAAGUGUAUAUUUUUUAUGUUCAGCUAAAUAUAAAUAUUUCAAAUUAUA